rnacentral:rRNA from 1 species
GUCGAGCGAACAGAUAAGGAGCUUGCUCCUUUGAAGUUAGCGGCGGACGGGUGAGUAACACGUGGGUAACCUACCUAUAAGACUGGAAUAACUUCGGGAAACCGGAGCUAAUGCCGGAUAACAUAUAGAACCGCAUGGUUCUAUAGUGAAAGAUGGUUUUGCUAUCACUUAUAGAUGGACCCGCGCCGUAUUAGCUAGUUGGUAAGGUAAUGGCUUACCAAGGCGACGAUACGUAGCCGACCUGAGAGGGUGAUCGGCCACACUGGAACUGAGACACGGUCCAGACUCCUACGGGAGGCAGCAGUAGGGAAUCUUCCGCAAUGGGCGAAAGCCUGACGGAGCAACGCCGCGUGAGUGAUGAAGGUUUUCGGAUCGUAAAACUCUGUUAUUAGGGAAGAACAAAUGCGUAAGUAACUGUGCGCAUCUUGACGGUACCUAAUCAGAAAGCCACGGCUAACUACGUGCCAGCAGCCGCGGUAAUACGUAGGUGGCAAGCGUUAUCCGGAAUUAUUGGGCGUAAAGCGCGCGUAGGCGGUUUCUUAAGUCUGAUGUGAAAGCCCACGGCUCAACCGUGGAGGGUCAU